rnacentral:lncRNA from 1 species
CUAUUCACUAGAGCCUUUUGGAGAGGUGCUGUGUGACAGGGAGGCUGUUGGAGGCAGAAGUGUUUGCAUGGGAUGGAGACUGCAACUACUGUAACCGUCCCUGUGGCAAGAACACCCACAGAAACAGAUAACAGCCAAAAAUAUUAAACAGACCAGAGCUCUGUCAGGACCCUGCUAGACAAUUCAUCCAAACGCAUCAUCAUACAACUCUGAUAAAAGGAUCUGUUGGAUUUUCUUUUGGAUGAGAUAGUUCAUUUGUAUUUGCUGCAUGUUAAUGUGACUAGAAAGCACUGAGACCUAAACAAAGUAGAUAAAUCAUUCCAAUGAAGCUAUUUUCAAGAAAGAGCAUUAAGAAAAAUAGAGAGCUAUGGGCAAUCUGCAUUGAUUGAGGACUCCGUUUUGACUUGGGUGGUGCUACAACAGUGUGUGUUUGCAGGCUAUUGAAGUAGAAACUGCUGAACUGUGAAGACUCCUGUAUUUCCCUGUUUGUUGGUAAAGAG